AGCCUGUGUGCCACACUCUUCCUGUACAUCCAUAUCUACCAACAUACCACAAAAAUCAUGAAUACCCCAAAAUAUAUCUAUUAACUAACAAUUAUUAAUGCAUUACAAGGAAAAAUAUUGCACCUGAGUCCAUUACUUAAGUAAAAUGCACGUUAUUCUGACUGCAAUUUCCAGAAGACAGAAUAACAAGAGCAUGUCUUCUGCAACCUUAGGCACAACAACCAAAAAAGCAGUAAAUUAGAAGUAACAUAUUAACAACAACCAAAGAUAAUAUAGUAUUCUAAAACUAAGGCAGUAUUCUGCAAAGAUAUACAACCAAAGAUAAUACAGUAUUAGCAAAUCAGAAAAUUUUUUAAAGAUAACAUAGUUCCAUGUAUUAGUAGUUGACGAUAGCCUCAUUGACAGAAAGUUGAUUGAGAGACUCCUCAAAACUUGCAGGUAAAUUGCUUCACUGAGAUAACUGUAUGUCAUAAAAUUGUAAUUUUUUUUAUCACGCUUCCAAUUUUGAAGGCAUAUAUUUUUGUCAGGAUCCUAAUACUUUAGUCCAACUGUAUUCACACUCUGCCAUUCCUAUCUUUAAUGCCAUCUUUGUGUUCUGCUCUUUGGACAGAUUGAAGAGGCAGAUAUAUUUAAAGAAACCAAACAGUAUACUUAUAAAGAUGGUUCCAGUAUGUCUUUAUGGACUUGGUAUACUAUUUUCUGUUUUGAUCUUCAUAUGACUGCGUCAAUAGUAGAUACUCUUUUCAAGUAACUUUAUCCUCUUUGAGAAUAUUAAGGCAACUAUCAAAGCAUCGUCAUUACUCAUAAUAGAGAAAGUGGUGAAAAAGGCUCACUAUCAUGCUAUGCUACACCUCUGCUCUAUUUUAACAUUACAAGUUUAUCUCUUCAUUCCACUGCUGGCUUAUGAGCAUGUUUGGGGCGCCUUAGGCUUAAAAAUAAGCACCACAUGUGUUGUUAGAUAUUUUUCAUCAUUUUGCAUGUGUUUGAUUUUUUGUUUUGCGAAUGAUUUGCUGCCCGGAUUAGUGUUUGCUGCUGCGCAACGCCCCGAAAGAGAAUUUUAUUUUCAAAAGUUUUUGAAUAGGUGCAUCUGUUUAUUUUUUAACAGUCACUUCCAAUAGCUGUACGCAAUGAUUUCAAGGGAUACACAUAUUCAAACAGUUGCCUCAAAACAGUGGCUUACAUUUAGUGGAUCCACCUACAUUCAAAUAAGCCACACAUUUGGAGCUUAUUUUUUAGCUUCAGCCAUCCCAAACAUGCUCUAUUUCACAUUGUUCUAUGUUGGAAGGAGUAAAACACUGUCAAAGCUGGAUAUCUUUCAGCAGAAUCAAUUUUAGACAUUUAGACCAACAUAAGCCAGGUGUUCAAGCUCAGACAUAGGUUGCGAGUUCAAAUUUUACCUUUAUUCCAUGUCCAUUUAAAUUUAAAAACAAAUUUCUGCUAUCAGACUAAAUCCACCUUCUGAAUCUCAAACACAAUGCAACAAAUCUAGAACUGAUUUUUGAACCCGGAGAAACACAGUUAACUCGUAAAUGUACUCAAGGAGUCAAGGUAGCAACAACGUAAAUCUACUCAUAAAUCUACUCAGAUCUGCAUAGUUAACUCGUAAAUCACUCAUAAACACAGUUACACAACUUAUACUGACAACCUACGUGUGGAGAACAGGAGAAAGUGUUCGAAAUCGAAGAAAUACACUUACCCCACCCGUGGACAACCUAGACAAAACGAUGACCAGCAAGGUAGCAAGCCAGCAUCUGGAUCGGCGUCGGCAAUUUGGGUCGGUGACGGGAGGAGAUAAGGCGACAGAGAAGUGAGGUUCUCUCUGUAGUAUGUUGAUUAUUUAGGGCUUUUUUCCAUUUUCAGUUUUAAGUAGCGUUUUGUUGUUUUUUUUUUCGUUUUUUUUAUUCGGUCGGGUCGGGUCGGGUCGGUUUUGAGAUGCCAACCCGCAACCUGACCCAACCCGAACCGACUGUUCAGAACAUGGACCGAAAACCACCCUUAAAAAAUAAAAAACCGACCCAACCCGGUCGAUUCGGGUCGGUCGGAUCGAUCGGGCUGGGUCGGUUUUUGCCCACCCCUAAUUCUAGCUCAACCUCUACUGUAGUAUAUCAGAAGAUAUCAAUAUAAUGUACUUUAAAAUCUAGUGGCAUCAUUAAUGGCAAGAGUUAGAGAAAUUCCAAUAUGUCAACCAAUAUGAGAACCGCCUACGCUACAUCCGCCGAUGCUGAAAGUGCAACCCCUAUUUCGUACUCGCAAAUGAUGAAUAUUUUGCUAUCUAGGUGUGGACGUGGUUCCAUUUGGUUCCAAUUUUAAGAUAACCAACCGAACCAUGAACCAAUGAAUUUUUGGAUAAUGGAACCAAAUGAUUUUUGUUUAGAUAUGGAACCAAACCAAACCGAACUGAAUUAUUCACUUUUGGUUUGGUUUGAUUUUACUUUUAUUUCUUAAAUUUUCAGACUUACACCAUACACAUAAGUUAUUAAUGCAUGCCUAAUGAAAAAUAAUAAGCAUCAAACAAUAAGGGUGUAUUUUCUUUGUUGUUUUCAGAUCGUUUUCUGUUUUCGAUUUUUCAAAACGAUGAAAACACGUUCUCUUUCCUGUUUUAGAAAAAUGCGUUUUUGAAAAAAAAAAAAAAAUUGUCCUGAAAACACAAAAUGAUGUUUUUAUCAUUUUGGAUGUUUUUUGUGCAAAAAUUAAAAAAAUUCUCCCUUCUCUGCUCGUUUCCCUCUUCUGGAAGUGGUUGGAUUCCUUCUUUUCCUUCGCUGGCUAUGGAUGCCCAUCUAUGUUGGCGGUCGAACGGAGAUAAGCUGCAGUUCCUCGCAACGUGGUUGAUGGAGGCGACCUAUUCAUCGCUGAAUUCGUUUGUUGAGCGCAAGUUUGAUGUGUCGAAUUUCUGCUGUAGAUUUCGAUUUUCUAUGUUGUUUGUUGUUAUAAUACCAUGUAUGGACGUGCCUUGCUGAGCUUGAUUGACCUGUGGGGUGUAAUUAACAUGGGCAGCAACUGGGUUGGUCGAAUUUGGUAGAAAAUCGCGCGUGAGUGGAUGUUUUUAGACGGUAAUUGGCUUGAUUUUGUUGUCAGUUGGGGUUGUUGUUUGUGUAGAGUUGGUGGGGAUUGAUGAGGAGAUGGUGUUGGUGCAAAAAUCUGGUGGCGAUGGCUAAAAGUUGAGUAGUGGUCGGUUUGUGAGGUUGAAUACGGCAUCUCAUGGUGGCUAGAGAAG
rnacentral:lncRNA from 1 species